CAACUCUUCAGAGGAGCAUCAUUCCUGGUCCUGGGAUGAAGAGGAUGACUUGCCUCCAGAUGGGAAUGAGGCGGAGAUUGGGGCUGCCUUAGAAUGCCUGCGCAGACGCAGUGAUGAUCAUCUAGUAGCUGAUGGUGCUGGAGAUUAUGUUGAGCUGCUAGAGCCCAGAGGAGGCCCAGAUGGUGGUGCUGAUCCUAAACAGCGCUAUCUGGAAAUGCAUGGAAUAUGUAAGACCAAAACAUUGCCCCUGUGUAGGAGGGGUAAAGCAAUACGACUACGAAAGGGGAAGGGGAGAGGGUAUGGGAAGACUGAAUCUGGUGUUAGGGCUGGAAGUCUGGUACGAAGGAAUAGCAACAACAACGGCAAGAAUGGUGUAGUUUCGUGCAGUGACUUGGCUACCUCACGGCCCUUGCCUCGUGUCAUUGAUUUGGGUCACCAAAGAAGAUCAUAUUCCCCUUCAUUCCAGGACUCUGAUGAAGGUGCUAGAGACCCAGUAGGUCUCGAAUGCAGAUCUCAUUGCAUGGACAGUCUGGCCAAAGAGAGGAGGCCAGGGGUAGGAAAAGAGAGAGAUGGGAAUGGGGGUACACUGCCCUGGGAAGAGUGUCAGAGAAAGAAAUGUUCCAGCAGGCGAUGUUCCACAGAUGAUAAUGAUGUGGCUAAGAACAAAGCAGAGAGUCUGGAAGACGGACAACAGGACCACAAUCAAAGAUCGCACUGUGGCUGUGAUGAUAAAACAUUGACCAACACUUUAGACAGUAGACAUGAGGUUGCAACAUUAGCAAAUCCCUCCACUUCUGCAGAUAAUGGAGCUGUCCCUUUGGCUGUUUAUGGAGAAACAGAAGACAUAAAUAAGAAAUUGACACGGACAAUGUCUCUCCAAGAUUCUUCCCUGAACAAUGCAUCUGAUUCAUCAGGCUGUGCACAAAGCAGAACCAAACACUCAGACAAUACUAGUAAAGAGAAAACAGAUAAAAGUUUGCCACCAUCAGGUACUGUAAGCGCCACGGAAGAAAAGUGUUCUGGAAAGUCAAAUAACCUUAUUUGUCCCAGAGGAAAAGAAGUAAAAACAGGUGGAUUUAGAGCACCCAGGAGGAAAAGGAAAGCCAAAGGAGGCAAAGGGAAGACCAAAUCCAAUGGCCGUGUCCAACAUAAAAGCAAGGGUGACCAAAUUCACUCAAAGAACCCGCUCAAAGCCACCCAACCAAUCAGCCAUUCUAGCCAAUCAGAGGAGGCUCCCAAAUUAUCUAAGGAUUGCAAAGGCUGUGUAGCAGCCACUGAAACAGAAACAGAUGCAAAGUCAAAAGCCAAAGAUGGAGGUAUGUUGUGAUUGUCUCAAUUAAUUCUCAUAAGUGGCCUCUCAUUGAGUGCUGA
rnacentral:lncRNA from 1 species